GAUAAACGCUGGCGGCGUGCCUAAUACAUGCAAGUCGAGCGAACGGACGAGAAGCUUGCUUCUCUGAUGUUAGCGGCGGACGGGUGAGUAACACGUGGAUAACCUACCUAUAAGACUGGGAUAACUUCGGGAAACCGGAGCUAAUACCGGAUAAUAUUUUGAACCGCAUGGUUCAAAAGUGAAAGACGGUCUUGCUGUCACUUAUAGAUGGAUCCGCGCUGCAUUAGCUAGUUGGUAAGGUAACGGCUUACCAAGGCAACGAUGCAUAGCCGACCUGAGAGGGUGAUCGGCCACACUGGAACUGAGACACGGUCCAGACUCCUACGGGAGGCAGCAGUAGGGAAUCUUCCGCAAUGGGCGAAAGCCUGACGGAGCAACGCCGCGUGAGUGAUGAAGGUCUUCGGAUCGUAAAACUCUGUUAUUAGGGAAGAACAUAUGUGUAAGUAACUGUGCACAUCUUGACGGUACCUAAUCAGAAAGCCACGGCUAACUACGUGCCAGCAGCCGCGGUAAUACGUAGGUGGCAAGCGUUAUCCGGAAUUAUUGGGCGUAAAGCGCGCGUAGGCGGUUUUUUAAGUCUGAUGUGAAAGCCCACGGCUCAACCGUGGAGGGUCAUUGGAAACUGGAAAACUUGAGUGCAGAAGAGGAAAGUGGAAUUCCAUGUGUAGCGGUGAAAUGCGCAGAGAUAUGGAGGAACACCAGUGGCGAAGGCGACUUUCUGGUCUGUAACUGACGCUGAUGUGCGAAAGCGUGGGGAUCAAACAGGAUUAGAUACCCUGGUAGUCCACGCCGUAAACGAUGAGUGCUAAGUGUUAGGGGGUUUCCGCCCCUUAGUGCUGCAGCUAACGCAUUAAGCACUCCGCCUGGGGAGUACGACCGCAAGGUUGAAACUCAAAGGAAUUGACGGGGACCCGCACAAGCGGUGGAGCAUGUGGUUUAAUUCGAAGCAACGCGAAGAACCUUACCAAAUCUUGACAUCCUUUGACAACUCUAGAGAUAGAGCCUUCCCCUUCGGGGGACAAAGUGACAGGUGGUGCAUGGUUGUCGUCAGCUCGUGUCGUGAGAUGUUGGGUUAAGUCCCGCAACGAGCGCAACCCUUAAGCUUAGUUGCCAUCAUUAAGUUGGGCACUCUAAGUUGACUGCCGGUGACAAACCGGAGGAAGGUGGGGAUGACGUCAAAUCAUCAUGCCCCUUAUGAUUUGGGCUACACACGUGCUACAAUGGACAAUACAAAGGGCAGCGAAACCGCGAGGUCUAGCAAAUCCCAUAAAGUUGUUCUCAGUUCGGAUUGUAGUCUGCAACUCGACUACAUGAAGCUGGAAUCGCUAGUAAUCGUAGAUCAGCAUGCUACGGUGAAUACGUUCCCGGGUCU
rnacentral:rRNA from 1 species